AUAUAUAUAUAUAUAUAUAUAUAUAUAUAUAUAUAUAUAUAUAUAUAUAUAUAUAUAUAUAUAUAUAUAUAUAUAUAUAUAUAUAUAUAUAUAUAUAUAUAUAUAUAUAUAUAUAUAUAUAUAUAUAUAUAUAUAUAUAUAUAUAUAUAUAUAUAUAUAUAUAUAUAUAUAUAUAUAUAUAUAUAUAUAUAUAUAUAUAUAUAUAUAUAUAUAUAUAUAUAUAUAUAUAUAUAUAUAUAUAUAUAUAUAUAUAUAUCAUCUCCUCUGAUAACUCACACCAACUAUUGUUUAUUACUCCACAAGCGAAAUAAUAGGAACCCUAAACAUGUAAGCACCAGUUACCUGCCUUAGUCAUAUGCUAGUGUUCUUCAUCUUUGAUCCAUUUAUAAACGAAAGUAAAAAUAUCAAUUCUGCCUGCUCGUUCGGUUAACGAAAGUGGCAUGUCGUGUUCUUUAAUACCUGUAUAGCUAAAAAGUACCGUGAGGGAAAGUUGAAAAGUACUUUGAAGAGAGAGUAAACAGUGCGUGAAACCGUUCAAAGGUAAACGGGUGGAGUUGAACUGCAAGCUCUGGGGAUUCAGCUGAUGAGUAUGAUUUGUGCUUGGGCAUACUGGCCGCCUUCAGUGUCUGUUUGUAACAGCAGGUGCCUACCUUUUAUAAUGGGGUGGGUAUGUGUAGACGUUCUUAUACGGCGCACGCAUUGGAGGUGUGAGGGUCUGCUUGUCAGUGCACUUUCUCAGAGUAUUCACCACGACCGGCAUUGCUGCCUUUCUACUAUGGCCAAACUGAUCAGGCUUGACUAUUAUUGUUGAGCUUGGUUGGGUCGGCAGGUGACUCUUUGGUUCGUAAUUAAUUAUUAUGGACCAUGAGUGUUACUAACCGGCUGUAGUGGAAUUGUGUAGUGUGUCGGAGAUGGCGGCUUCACGUGCGUGCUUUGUCCUUCGAGCAUUAAUGAGUCUGGUCGGCUUGUUACUAGCUUCGGUUAGUCUGCUGAUGGCUUGUUUAUGUCACGUUGGCAGUUGCGUAUGUGAGCUUUUGAAUGGGCCAAUAGUCUGUGGUGUAGUGGUAGACGAUCCACCUGACCCGUCUUGAAACACGGACCAAGGAGUUUAACAUGUGCGCAAGUCAUUGGGCGUUACGAAACCCAAAGGCGAAGUGAAGGUAAAGGUUCGGCUUUCAGUCCGGACUAAGGUGAGAUCCUGUUGCCUUGCUCAUACUUUCCAAGUUGCGAGCAGCGGGCGCAUCACCGGCCCGUCCCAUGACGUAGACAUGCGACCUUGUGUUGCGUGCACCGUCGGGGCGGAGCAAGAGCGUACACGUUGAGACCCGAAAGAUGGUGAACUAUGCUUGCGAAGGUUGAAGCCAGAGGAAACUCUGGUGGAGGACCGUAGCGAUUCUGACGUGCAAAUCGAUCGUAUAACGUGAGUAUAGGGGCGAAAGACUAAUCGAACCCUCUAGUAGCUGGUUCCCUCCGAAGUUUCCCUCAGGAUAGCUGGCAUUCUGAGAAAUUAAACAGUUUUAUCCGGUAAAGCGAAUGAUUAGAGGCAUUGGGGAUAAAACAUCCUUAACCUAUUCUCAAACUUUAAAUGGGUGAGAAGCUUAACUCGCUUAAGUGGAGUUUUGCAUUGAAUGUGAGUGCCAAGUGGGCCAUUUUUGGUAAGCAGAACUGGCGCUGUGGGAUGAACCAAACGUUCGGUUAAGGUGCCCAACGUGACGCUCAUGAGAUACCACAAAAGGUGUUGGUUGGUCCAGACAGCAGGACGGUGGCCAUGGAAGUCGGAAACCGCUAAGGAGUGUGUAACAACUCGCCUGCCGAAUCAACCAGCCCUGAAAAUGGAUGGCGCUCGAGCGUUGGACCUAUACCGGACCGUUGCUAUAAGCUGGGCCUAUGCUGUGUGAGGGCAAGCUGCACUUGGUCCAGGCAUGGAGUAAUGGCAACGAGUAGGAGGGUCGCUGUGGCUAGCGGGAAGCCUCAGGCGUAAGCCUAGGUGAAGCAACCACAGGCGCAGAUCUUGGUGGUAGUAGCAAAUAUUCAAGUGAGAACCUUGAAGGCCGAGGUGGAGAAGGGUUACAUGGGAACAGCAGUUGACCAUGGGUCAGGCGGUCCUAAGUGAUCCGGUAAAUCGGAACAGAGACGGGGUGCCUGACAUUGUCCGUUUUACGGGCUUUGUUCAGUAUUACUGCAUCAAAGUAUAAAGUUGUAGAUCGCAGCCCCCUGUAACGAAAGGGAAUCGGAUUAAUAUUCCCGACCCUGUCCACGGAGAUUGGUGUAUGUUUCGGGCAUUUUUUGUUCGGCAUGCACCGAGCGCGGUAACGCAACCGACCUCGGAGAUGUCGGCGAGAGUUCUGGGAAGAGUUCUCUUUUAUUUGUUAGGAGUGCAUCCACCCCCUGGAAUCGGCUUGUCCGGAGAUAGGGGGCUAGCCUCCGUAAAGCACCACCCUUCUUGUGGUGUCCGGAACGCUCUUGUCGGCCCUUGAAAAUCCGAGCUAGGCAGUAUAAU
rnacentral:rRNA from 1 species